ACGUGUGCCCCCGUACAAUAGGUUUAAUCGAUUUAAUAAUCACAUAUUUCUUGUUAUCACAACGCACGUGUGAACUAAACCUGAUAAUAUCAUUUCUAACAAAAAUCUAAAAGUUAUUUCAUCUAUCCUAAAAAUAUUUUUUAAAGUCUCCGGGUUCGUUACUACUAAUUUGCGAAGUAAAUUAACACGUGAGUAUCCAUUUAUUUCUAGUAACUAAUUUUUAC